rnacentral:misc_RNA from 1 species
CACACCCCAAGCUCUGCUUGAUGUUGGACGAUGCCUUGGCCCUUCUGGGCCAGGGCACGUCUGGAACCCGUGGGCGCCCCCGCCGAACCACGAGCGUAGCAAGACGCAAGUCACUCGCUUCUGUCGGUCUCGGUGGAGGGUCUGCCUAAUCCAUUUCUGAA